AUUGAACGCUGGCGGCAGGCCUAACACAUGCAAGUCGAACGAGUGGCGGACGGGUGAGUAAUGUCUGGGAAACUGCCUGAUGUAGGGGGAUAACUACUGGAAACGGUAGCUAAUACCGCAUACCAUCAGAUGCGCCCAGAUGGGAUUAGCUAGUUGGUGGGGUAACGGCUCACCAAGGCGACGAUCCCUAGCUGGUCUGAGAGGAUGACCGGCAAAACUGGAACUGAGACACGGUCCAGACUCUUACGGAAGGAAGCAGUGGGGAAUAUUAGACAAUGGGCGCAAGCCUGAUGCAACCAUGCCGCGUGAAUGAAGAAGGCCUUCGGGUUGUAAAGUACUUUCAGCGGGGAGGCGUUACCCGCAGAAGAAGCACCGGCUAACUCCGUGCCAGCCGCCGCGGUAAUUC
rnacentral:rRNA from 1 species